rnacentral:rRNA from 1 species
AGUGAACGCUGGCGGUAGGCCUAACACAUGCAAGUCGAACGGCAGCACAGUAAGAGCUUGCUCUUACGGGUGGCGAGUGGCGGACGGGUGAGGAAUACAUCGGAAUCUACUUUUUCGUGGGGGAUAACGUAGGGAAACUUACGCUAAUACCGCAUACGACCUACGGGUGAAAGCAGGGGAUCUUCGGACCUUGCGCGAUUGAAUGAGCCGAUGUCGGAUUAGCUAGUUGGCGGGGUAAAGGCCCACCAAGGCGACGAUCCGUAGCUGGUCUGAGAGGAUGAUCAGCCACACUGGAACUGAGACACGGUCCAGACUCCUACGGGAGGCAGCAGUGGGGAAUAUUCGACAAUGGGCGCAAGCCUGAUCCAGCCAUACCGCGUGGGUGAAGAAGGCCUUCGGGUUGUAAAGCCCUUUUGUUGGGAAAGAAAAGCAGCAGGAUAAUACCCCGCUGUUCUGACGGUACCCAAAGAAUAAGCACCGGCUAACUUCGUG